AUAGUAACAAGGUUUCAGUAGGUGAACCUGCGGAAGGAUCAUUACCUAGAGUUUGUAGACUUCGGUGUGCUACCUCUUACCCAUGUCUUAUGAGUACCUUCGUUUCCUCGGCGGGUCCGCCCGCCGAUUGGACAACAUUCAAACCCUUUGCAGUUGCAAUCAGCGUGUGAAAAAACAUAAUAGUUACAACUUUCAACAACGGAUCUCUUGGUUCUGGCAUCGAUGAAGAACGCAGCGAAAUGCGAUAAGUAGUGUGAAUAGCAGAAUUCAGUGAAUCAUAGAAUCUCAGAACGCACAUUGCGCCCCUUGGUAUUCCAUGGGGCAUGCCUGUUCGAGCGUCAUUUGUACCUUCAAGCUAUGCUUGGUGUUGGGUGUUUGUCUGGCCUCUGCGUGUAGACUCACCUUAAAACAAUUGGCAGCCGGCGUAUUGAUUUCGGAGCGCAGUACAUCUCGCGCCUACACUCACAACGACGACGUCCAAAAGUACAUUUUCCACUCUNACCU
rnacentral:rRNA from 1 species